GAGCCCUAGGAUGGCCUUGCCAU
rnacentral:misc_RNA from 1 species